GCCAUGCUGGUCUAAUUUGAAAGACCCCUGCUAUUUCAAGCCGCAUAAGGCCUGGGUUCAAUUCCCAGGCAUGGAC